CCGUUGGAACUUGUACAGCGGGAUUUUUGACUACUAGUAGGGUGACCAUCAGCUUUCCUUGUGUUUCAUCUUGUCACUGGUUUUGGCGGCUCUCAGGUGAGGUCUCAUGGUACCGAUAUAUCUACAGUUGCUUGCCAAAUCCAUUGGACCGACCCAAAAUAUACUCACUUGACAUAUCCUGUACCAGCGCCGUUAUUAGCAGCGCGCAGGAGGGAGGACAUGUUGUUUUACUUGGACUGUGGGGGCUAAGGAUCGCUGGUACCCUUUUCCGACCUACCUUCCGAAGCAUGUCGAUCACUAGGAGGCAGAGCAUACAAGCCUCCUGGCAUGAUAUGGCAUGAUCUUUAGUCUCACCAAUGAGUGCUCCGUGCUUCAGCUUGAAUUUGUAGUGAUUUUCCUGGCAGCUUCCAAAAUCCAACACUUCGCAUUGUGAGAAAAUUGUCAGCUCAUCCAGAGAAUAAAUAGAGAUAUAUUCGUUCUGGUGAAAAAGACUUGGCCCCCGAAACCCCAUCCCUCUGCUACUCCCUGCGGCAGCUUGUGAUGUUGGUUUAGCCAUUUCAGCGGAGCAUGGUUAGCAGAAUGCUGGGCUGUCAGACGUUCUUGUAUCCUCCAAGCAAAAAUGUUCGUUGAUUUAAGAUUUCAGUUUCUUAGAGAAUUUCACCAACCUUUCUUGAGCGUGGUGACAGCCGCCGGUCGUACAGAGAGCAUUUUGUGGUUAAUCAACUUUUCUCAAAUUUCAAGCACCGCUAUAAAUAAUAUGUGCUUGCAGUUUUUACGGAUAGCUUACAGACGUUAAUCCAAGGUCACCUUGACAUGUUUGAGG
rnacentral:sRNA from 2 species